rnacentral:rRNA from 1 species
AGUGAACGCUGGCGGUAGGCCUAACACAUGCAAGUCGAACGGCAGCACAGGAGAGCUUGCUCUCUGGGUGGCGAGUGGCGGACGGGUGAGGAAUACAUCGGAAUCUACCUUUUCGUGGGGGAUAACGUAGGGAAACUUACGCUAAUACCGCAUACGACCUACGGGUGAAAGUGGGGGACCGCAAGGCCUCACGCGAUUAGAUGAGCCGAUGUCCGAUUAGCUAGUUGGCGGGGUAAUGGCCCACCAAGGCGACGAUCGGUAGCUGGUCUGGGAGGAUGAGCAGCCGCACUGGAACAGAGACCCGGUGCAUGCUCCGACGCGAGGCAGCGGUGGGGAAUAUUGGACAAUGGGCGCAAGCCUGAUCCAGCCAUACCGCGUGGGUGAAGAAGGCCUUCGGGUUGUAAAGCCCUUUUGUUGGGAAAGAAGUCCUGUCGAUUAAUACUCGGUGGGGAUGACGGUACCCAAUGAAUAAGCACCGGCUAACUUCGUGCCAGCCGCCGCCGUAAUAC